rnacentral:misc_RNA from 1 species
GUAGGUGAACCUGCGGAAGGAUCAUUAACACGUGAUUUUCACACGUAUUAACCAAACGCGAAUUUUGUUGUUAAGCCUGUUAGAGGAAUUCGAGCUGAACGUUAGGGAAUGGUGUGCUGACGAUGAUUCGCUCUCGUUAUGCUAACUAACGGUCUGGCGUCCUUGAGACGCGGUUCGGUCCUUUAUCAGUAGAUACAAUUUCGGCUGCUUAUUAAGCCUGCACCUUGGCUUGCAGUCCGGGGUGAAAUAUUACUUACCACUUAUUUAUACUUAUUCUGAUUUGUACGUUUUUAUGAAUUCCUAGUGACUUCGGUCAUUGGUUGAGUUUGUUAAAAUGUCGUAUAUUACUAAUACGAAACAACUCUUAGCAACGGAUAUCUUGGUUCUC